UCCUGCCCCAAAUGAUCACUUCUUAGCCAGUUCUUGACAUUCAGCUUCAGUGCUUCCAUCCCCUACCUUCCCUCCUACUCUACAAGGAAGGUCCAGACUUCAUUUAUCCUGAGUUCUGAAGCAAGCAAGAUGUAGGCACUCAUUACACAAGAGUAAUUGGACUGGGGGUGUAAGAGCACCAGAAGGCUUGCUUAGCAUGCAAGAAACCUUGAUUUCCAUCUACAACACCACAGACAACUGACUAGCUACAGCCCUUGUCUGGGUCUGCAGGACAAGGCUGACCUACACUGCAGGACGUUGGUGAGGUCAUUUGAACCUCCCUUGCUAGUUUUGCCUUAUAUGUGAUAAUUUGGGAGUGAGUGCUUGCCUUUAAUCCCUGGAGUCUGUCAAGUGUUGAGUUUUAAGGGGGUGGAUAAUAUAAACACCGAGGAUUAGGCGAGAACAGUUUGAGGAGGAGCUGAGAGAAGACUAGAGAAUGCCAACAUCUCUGCAGAUGACAGAGCCUUUGCUUGUCGAGCUGUCCCUAACCAGUCCCGGCACUGCUAGUCAGGCUUCAAGCUUUGGACUCUAACAAGCAGGAGACUGCCUUCAUGUCAAUGCCACCCUUGAUAGUGCAUCAAGACGUCAAUUGCAGUGACAUGAACAUCAGCCCUCAGAACGGACUGGGAACUUGAUGAACAGAGGGUUCGACUUCACAACUUGGAAAGGGCAUACACUUCAGUGUUUCAAGCAGUGAUGGUGAGAGUUGUGCUAAAUUACCCACUUCAAUUUUCUUUGAGACUGGCGCUCAAGAAUUUAAAAAUAGAGGCUCCAACGAUUGUUCCCUGGGUGAAGAUUUCCUCAAGAACAAACGGUUCACAGAAAAGAAAAAACAAAACAAAAACAAAAUUACUCUUGAGAAUCUGAAGUUAUAUUUGAUGCCUCUCCUAACAGGACAAGUGUGGCCUACAUUUUUGAUGGGAUACUGUGUUCCAUCAACCAGAAGUAAAACUUUUGUUAACACAUUAUGUUAGAGGGCCCAGCUCACUAUAGGCUGUGCCACCCCUGGGCUGGUGGCUUUGGGUGCUAUAAGAAAGCAGG